rnacentral:tRNA from 1 species
UCCGUAGCCAAGUGGUAAGGCAUGGGACUGCAACUCCCUGAGCGCUGGUUCAAAUCCGGUCGGG